rnacentral:rRNA from 1 species
UACGAAGGGGGCUAGCGUUGUUCGGAAUUACUGGGCGUAAAGCGCGCGCAGGCGGUUCUUCAAGUCAGUGGUGAAAGCCCGGAGCUCAACUCCGGAAUUGCCAUUGAAACUGUAGAACUUGAGGAUGAGAGAGGUGAGUGGAAUUCCCAGUGUAGAGGUGAAAUUCGUAGAUAUUCGGAAGAACACCAGUGGCGAAGGCGGCUCACUGGACUGGUAUUGACGCUGAGGUGCGAAAGCGUGGGGAGCAAACAGG